UCCGAUAACUCUAGGAGCACACCUGUGAGAAGCUUGGAGGCCUCCUAGCCCAAAGAGCCAACAUACAGAAAUGGAAACUGGGGCCCAGAGAGGCAAAGCAACCUUUCUAAGAUCACACAGCCUUUUGAGGAAUCAGUCAGAACAAGAGUUCAGCUCAUCUAGGUUACCUGCUCCCCGCUGCCCUGGCCGCACGAAGUCCAAGCAGAGACAGGUUUGGUGCAGGGCUCUGGGAGGACAAAGACACAUCACCCUUCUCUGGGAAGGAGAGGACAGCCUGGGAAGACAUUGAGACAGCCUGCUGUUCUGUACUCAGCCCAAGAGCCCCUGGCCGGUUCCAGCGGACCACAGUCAGCAGCCAUCUACCUCAGCGCGCCCUGCUACCUCCUCUUUCUGUAGGCAAUCACUGACCUGUUUUCUGUGUCUAUAGAUGAGUUUGCAUUUUAAGAAUUUUAUAUAUUUAGAAUGAUAAGCCUGUAUUCUUUUGCUUUCUUUUUCUUUUCCUGAUUUUUAUUUUUAUGUUAAGUGGAUCAUAGUUUGUUUCUUUUUAUUUGGUGAGUAGUAAUGGAUUGUGUGAAUAUAUUAUAAUUUGUAAAUCCAUCCUCCUGGU